AAAUAUUAAUAGUCAAAAGCAGGGGAACAAAAAAAGGUUUUACCUGCAAAACCGGGUUAGGAGUAAGUUCAGGCUUUAGUAAUUCCUCUUUCUCAAAAGGUGCGAUGUCAAGCAUCUUAACCAAAUUAUAUGCCAAUGCUUGCUGUUGCUCAUCUGGCUUCCACGAGGCAGGAAAUAUGCUGGAAGAAGGAAACAGAAACUCACAGACACCCUCAGCAGAAGGUAGCAUGUUGAAGUUGAAAGAAUCAGGCUGCAAAGGAAAAGAGUUAAAUGAACAUCAAGGUAGUCAGAAGAUUCAAGAUGAAGGUGUUUCCAUGAGUUAACUUCCGGUGUCAUCUAAAUUAGACACAAUGGGAGUGAGGACCUCAACAACUACAUUCCCUAGUCCAUCUCUCCAGACACAACGUACCAUUGCCACCUUGUUUGCUUGCUUCAUUUCUCUUACAAUGGCAGAGACGGCAAUAACAGAGUUUUGUUUUCCCGGAUCAGGAACAACUAUGUUCAGGUCAUCUUUCAUGUGGCGGUGUCUUAGUUGACAUGCAGAGAAAAACACAACACAACACAACAAUCUGUCAACUGAGACAACCAAGAGUUUACAGACAACCAUAAAUAUAGGUGAUUGUUUAUGCUUACCGCAAUAUGUUUGAACCCUGAGUAAAUCCCAGAAGCUUCAUUCUUUCUUCAGUUUUGAACUUGAGGGUUUCCAUCUCAUGUGGUGAUAUAGGAAUAACAUAAGGUCCAUAGCAAAAGCCCUUUAUCCUUUCUUCUGGAGUAAGAACCUCACUAGACUUGGCGAACUUGUCUGUUGGUGACGCCUUGUGGAUAUGCAUUUUUAAAAUGGGAAGUCUCUCAUCAGCCACUGUCUUAUAAAAAGACACCUGCAAAAUUCAAAUUCAAAAAUACCGUCCUCAGGAACUAUCUCGAAUAGUUAUAUAAUCGUCGGAUGGACCAAAGAACACCAAAUAUGAAAUAACACAAUGAUCUCCAGAAACAUUGCACCACAAUCAAUAGAUACCUUAAUUGUUGGGUUAAUCUCAAGAUCACCCCUGGACAAAGUAACUGGAGCAAAUCUCCGGAUCUUGAAGGAAUCUAGAAGUGAGAGUUGAUUCUCAACACACACUGUUUGCGAAACCGAGUUGCUGGAGGAUAAGUUCAACAACUGAUCGUCCUCCGCCAUUAUCUUCUCACUAACAUCAACAUCAGUUGCAACAGGCUUCUUCUCCGCAUCCAUAGCCAGUGGGAGCUCUCCAAAUUCCCAUCCAGGAUCCAAGACAUCCUCAGUCGUAGCACUACGAGUCCAAGGGAGAUCUGUAUUUCCUGUCCAGAAUCAGAAAUUCAUAAUCAGAAAUCAACCUAAAAGUUGACAAAAAAAUAAAUAUAAAAGAAAUUCAACCUAAAUAAUCGGACAAGUUUAAGUAGAAAAUUUCCUUACUGUAAUCACCUGAAACUAAUUACCAUAAUCAGGAAACUCAAAACCAAUGGUACUUUGCCUUUUAACCUUAAUAGCCCUUUAAUUACUCUAUAGUCCAUCUCACUAAUCUGCGAAAAUAUCCUACAGCACAAAAUAUUAAAGACUUGCCGUAUCUAGAGAUGGCCAGAGCUUCCAUUUCCUUCAUGACAAGGUGAGGGUUCUGACAUUCCUGAAUAAACGUCACAGGAAAGUCAUAACACAAAACAAUUUAUAGUACCAACGUACUAUUAACAGGGGAACAAAACUAACAUGGAUACAGCUAAACGUGAACUGAAAUACCAUAGCAUUUAAAUAACGACACCUUUUCUGUAUUAAGAUUUUGAAACAUUUGAUGAAUUGCAAAAGGAUGUUCACCUUUGAUAACAAUGAUCUACACUUUUCUAGCUUCCACGAGGCAGGAAAUAUGCUGGAAGAAGGAAACAGAAACUCACAGACACCCUCAGCAGAAGGUAGCAUGUUGAAGUUGAAAGAAUCAGGCUGCAAAGGAAAAGAGUUAAAUGAACAUCAAGGAAACAGGGGAACAAAACUAACAUGGAUACAGCUAAACGUGAACAGAAAUACCAGAGCAUUUACUUAAUGACACCUUUCCGUAUUAAGAUUUUGAAACAUUUGAUGAAUUGCAAAAGGAUCGUCA
rnacentral:lncRNA from 1 species